AAGCUGUUGAAAACAACUGACAUUACGCUAAACAAUUAAAAAACAAGGAAAGCAACAAUACCAACAAGUCAUUGGGAGGGUGGCAAGCUGCCUUCUUAUAUGUAAGCUGUCCUAGUAUGAGCAUUGAGAAACAGCCUGAUAAAAAUAAAAACUGGCCCACAAGCAGAAGGACAAUGGACAUGGGAGACUAAAAAGUAGAAUGUCAGUCAUACCAUUUACAUGAACCCUACCAAAAUCAAAGUUUUGAAAGAAUAUGUGAGAGAAGUAUUUUUAGAGAUGCAAUUACCGAAAAGUUUCGAGGAAGAUCUGAGCUACUCUAGAAACCUUUCAAGGAACUACCUGUACAAAAGAGUGAAAACGUGGACUGUAAAUCAAAAAGUUCAACUUAUCAUAUUAAGUUGAAGACAAACAUUAGGAACAUAUAAACACAUUCUGGAUGUGAUAUUUGUAUUAUGAUGUGUUUAAAAAAAGAAAUACACAGGAAUUAUG